rnacentral:misc_RNA from 1 species
GAUGAAGAACGUAGCGAAAUGCGAUAAGUAAUGUGAAUUGCAGAAUUCAGUGAAUCAUCGAAUCUUUGAACGCACCUUGCGCCCCUUGGUUAUUCCAAAGGGCAUGCCUGUUUGAGUAACAUGAACACCUCAACUCUUGUGGUUUCCCACAAUGAGCUUGGACUGUGGAGGUUUUGUUGGCCCUGUGGUCAGCUCCUCUCAAAUGGAUCAGCUUACCGGUGUUUGGUGGCAUUACGGGUGUGAUAACUAUCUACGCUCGUGGUCGUCUCCAAAUAACCUCCAGUGAUGGAGGUUCGCUGGAGCUUAUAAAUGUCUCUCCCCAGUGAAGACAGCCUUUGAACGUUCGAUCUCAAAUCAGGUAGGACUACCCGCUGAACUUAAGCAUAUCAAUAAGCGGAGGA